UACGUAGGGGGCAAGCGUUGUCCGGAUCUAUUGGGCGUAAAGAGCGUGUAGGCGGCCUGACAAGUCUGCUGUGAAAACUCGAGGCUCAACCUCGAGAUGUCGGCGGAAACUGUCUGGCUAGAGUCCGGAAGAGGAGAGUGGAAUUCCUGGUGUAGCGGUGAAAUGCGCAGAUAUCAGGAAGAACACCUAUGGCGAAGGCAGCUCUCUGGGACGGUACUGACGCUGAGACGCGAAAGCGUGGGGAGCAAACAGG
rnacentral:rRNA from 1 species